GAUGAACGCUGGCGGCGUGCUUAACACAUGCAAGUCGAACGGAAAGGCUCCUGCUUGCAGGGGUACUCGAGUGGCGAACGGGUGAGUAACACGUGGGUGAUCUGCCCUGCACUUCGGGAUAAGCCUGGGAAACUGGGUCUAAUACCGGAUAGGACGAUGGUUUGGAUGCCAUUGUGGAAAGUUUUUCGGUGUGGGAUGAGCUCGCGGCCUAUCAGCUUGUUGGUGGGGUAAUGGCCUACCAAGGCGUCGACGGGUAGCCGGCCUGAGAGGGUGUACGGCCACAUUGGGACUGAGAUACGGCCCAGACUCCUACGGGAGGCAGCAGUGGGGAGUAUUGCACAAUGGGCGCAAGCCUGAUGCAGCGACGCCGCGUGGGGGAUGACGGCCUUCGGGUUGUAAACUCCUUUCGCUAGGGACGAAGCGCAAGUGACGGUACCUGGAGAAGAAGCACCGGCUAACUACGUG
rnacentral:rRNA from 1 species